GCUACCCUUCCUCCUCAACACUGGUGGAGUGCUCUGAGGAAAAUAAAAAGAAGACACAGAGACAAGAUGCAGAGGUAGGAAAUUAAGAUGGCAGAAAGGCAGAGGGACCAAGCUGCCAAGCUUUAUUUAUAUCCAUAGGUUACUAUAGGUCAUCGGCAUAAUUAGUACAUAUUGUUCAUUGUAUUACUAGGCAGAUUACAGACUUAGCAACAUUAUGCAGCUUAUUCCUCAGUUACAUACUAAGUUGCAGUAUGCUAUGUUAGCAGCUUUGUGUAGCUCUCAAGAAAGCCCAUUGUAUACAGUUACUGCUAUGUGGACAGGUUUAGGUUUAGUGAAACAUUAUGGUCUUCUAACAAGAGAGUUCCUUUAUUCCCAAGGAGCUGUGUGCCUUAGAUUAAGGUGAGGCUGUUAAGACUCUAACAUAGAGCUUCCUAUUGAAGGUCAUUGCUACAGCAGCCAGGCAUCCUGUGUCUUUGCACAGAAACUUCCUAGCCGCCAAGCAUGCCACAGUCAUGAAGACUGAGAAAACUCCAACCCUAAGAUUUCUAAGCACGCUCUCUCUCCUCAGGAAGGUGGCAAGGGCAGCCCACCUAGCAGUAAAACAUCAGAGACCUCAAUUCCAAGCACAGAACUCCUACAGAGUACUGGGAGGGUUUCUGAACUGGGCAAAAUAUCAGCGAGCUGGGCCUGUAGGAGCAAGGCAGGAGGGAGCUUCAGCUGGGACCAGUGUCCAAGAUGGCUGCUCCUCAAGCCCCUCCCUGUCCAUGGGCUCUCUCUGGUCCACUGGACCUGCAGGUACCCAGGUGCAGGCUGCUGGGUGGGGGUGUGGUGGCGCUCAGCUCCCCUGGUACAGUUAUACCUGGCGGUGUAUCCUCCUGAGACUGGUUGGUGGUGCUGCCCUGCAGGCUGCAGUGGGGACCAGGCCAAAGAAGAAGUGGGAUCACCAAAUGGGCCUGUGCAGCCACAGACCAGUGUUCCUUUUCCAGUGGGUGACAAAUUAGGAGUUUGGGGUCGGGUUGCUAGAAUAUGGUCCUGGGGUCAGUGUCUGGGUCCUUCCCUGUGUCACACAGCUGAGUGGGCACUUAUUUUGAAGUGGCCAGGACCAGAAGCUUCUCCACUUUCCAGUGUAGUGAAAUCAUAGUGCUUUGGGGAAAAUGGCUGGGAGAUGGGUUUAUGUCCCCCACCAUAAGCCUCCCCGCAGGCUUUCAGGCUAGGAAAUUCUCAGUAUCCUCUUUCAGUUACCAUUUCCUGCUGCAUAGGGAGGAAAAAUCGACACCCUCCUAGAUCAUGCCUGCCUCUGGAGUCAGGGUACUGACUGCCUGGAUGGAUGGGGUGACCUAACCUGGGCCACACCUGAGUGGUCCUGGAGCCUGGGAUCUGCCAAGCUCUUUAUUUUCUACUAACAAAGGUAAACACAGUCUUUAUUGCUUGUUUUAUUCCUUAAUAAGUAAGUAAUUCAUGCUUGUGGUAGAUAAUCUAGGAAGUACAGAUCUACAAACAAACUUAAAAACAGCCCAUGAGGAAGGAUUCCAGCACCCAAGAGACCCUCACCAUUGUCAUUGUGGUUCACCAUCUUCAUGUUUUACUCCUAGGUGUGCUCCCACGCCCACCUUCCCAUAGGACAGAGGGAGUUCUUAAGAAUGCUUAGGAGGUGGCAGUUUCUCAAGAUCUUAAUUUUGACAUGCUAUGUACAGUUAGGGUGGGGACAUAUUGACUUUCAAAGAUUUUAGAGUUUUGGAGGUCUUAAGAGGUGACAUGGUGAAAUCAGGAAAACAAAUAUUAAAGAAAUUGAACUCAUAUUUGGCUAGGAUUCCUUGGGAGGUGGACUUACCCUUGGAGUAUAUGAAUGGUGUUGUGUACAAGUGGUGUGCAGUCAUUUGAAAGGAAUCUACAUUGUGGUGGUCACAAAC
rnacentral:lncRNA from 1 species